AACGAGAAAUCCUGGCUUGCCAGGAUGAGUAAAGUGGCGCACGGGUGAGUAACACGUGAGUAAUCUGCCCCUAAGUCUGGAAUAACAUUGCGAAAGCGAUGCUAAUACCUGGUAAGCCCACGACUUCUUCGGGAGUUGUGGGAAAAGGUGGCCUCUGACAUAAGCUAUCACUUAGGGAUGAGCUCGCGGACCAUUAGCUUGUUGGUAGGGUAAUGGCCUACCAAGGCAAUGAUGGUUAGCUGGCCUGAGAGGGUGGCCAGCCACACUGGAACUGAGAUACGGUCCAGACUCCUACGGGAGGCAGCAGUGGGGAAUCUUGCGCAAUGGGGGAAACCCUGACGCAGCAACGCCGCGUGAGUGACGAAGGCUUUCGGGUCGUAAAGCUCUGUCAGAUGGAAAGAAUUAAUUCGCUGAAAAUAUUGGCGAAUGAUGACGGUACCAUCAGAGGAAGCACCGGCUAACUCCGUGCCAGCAGCCGCGGUAAUACGGAGGGUGCAAGCGUUGUUCGGAAUUAUUGGGCGUAAAGCGCGUGUAGGCGGGAAAGCAGGUCAGGUGUGAAAUCCCUUGGCCCAACCAAGGAACUGCAUCUGAAACCAUUUUCCUCGAGUACGAUAGGGGAGGGCGGAAUUCCCAGUGUAGAGGUGAAAUUCAUAGAUAUUGGGAGGAACACCAGUGGCGAAGGCGACCCUCUGGAUCGAUACUGACGCUGAGACGCGAAAGCGUGGGUAGCAAACAGGAUUAGAUACCCUGGUAGUCCACGCUGUAAACGAUGUGCACUAGUGUUGGAGGUACUUAAUCCUC
rnacentral:rRNA from 1 species